GAUGAAGAACGCAGCGAAAUGCGAUAAGUAAUGUGAAUUGCAGAAUUCAGUGAAUCAUCGAAUCUUUGAACGCACAUUGCGCCCGCCAGUAUUCUGGCGGGCAUGCCUGUUCGAGCGUCAUUUCAACCAUCAAGCCCCCGGCUUGUGUUGGGGACCUGCGGCUGCCGCAGGCCCUGAAAACCAGUGGCGGGCUCGCUAGUCACUCCGAGCGUAGUAAUACAUCUCGCUCAGGGCGUGCUGCGGGUUCCGGCCGUUAAAACACCUUAUUUACCCAAGGUUGACCUCGGAUCAGGUAGGAAGACCCGCUGAACUUAAGCAUAUCAAAAGCGGAGA
rnacentral:misc_RNA from 1 species